rnacentral:lncRNA from 1 species
CCAAGUAGCUGGGACUAUAGGCAGGCACACCAUGCCCAACUAAUUAUUUUUUUAAUUUUUUAGAGACAGGGUCUUGCUAUGUUGCCCAGGUUCGGCAGAUCACUGCUAGCUUUUCUGUGACCAUCAUGGAUCUUACCACGAAGCUGGGAUGGGAUUCUUUAUUUCACCUGUUCUAUGAUUCAGAACAUUGGCUUCCUCAAGUGCUUACUAUGUGCCAGGCACUGUGCUGAGUGCUUUGUACCUGCUAACUCAUUUAGUCCUAAAGCAACCCUAUGAGUUCUAUUCUAGUUUUAUUAAAACUUUAUAAAUAAGGCAACGAAAGUCCAUUAAGUUAAAUAGCAUUCCCAGUGU